rnacentral:rRNA from 1 species
AUUGAACGCUGGCGGCAGGCUUAACACAUGCAAGUCGAGCGGGGUGAUGGUGCUUGCACUAUCACUUAGCGGCGGACGGGUGAGUAAUGCUUAGGAAUCUGCCUAUUAGUGGGGGACAACAUCUCGAAAGGGAUGCUAAUACCGCAUACGUCCUACGGGAGAAAGCAGGGGAUCACUUGUGACCUUGCGCUAAUAGAUGAGCCUAAGUCGGAUUAGCUAGUUGGUGGGGUAAAGGCCUACCAAGGCGACGAUCUGUAGCGGGUCUGAGAGGGUGACCCGCCACACGGGGACUGAGACACGGCCCAGACUCCUACGGGGGGCAGCAGUGGGGAAUAUUGGACAAUGGGGGGAACCCUGAUCCAGCCAUGCCGCGUGUGUGAAGAAGGCCUUAUGGUUGUAAAGCACUUUAAGCGAGGAGGAGGCUCUUUUGGUUAAUACCCAAGAUGAGUGGACGUUACUCGCAGAAUAAGCACCGGCUAACUCUGUGCCAGCCGCCGCGGUAA